ensembl:lncRNA
CAAAAUUAAUUUGUAACCUCCACUUAUUUAUCCAUUCCUCCAACCUUACAUUAUCUUACUGCUGGGUGCAGGAGACACAAGGUCAUUUACGUUUUAGAUGAUGAAGAACUGUGAGUCUGCAUGUCUCAGUGAGACACCUGGUGCUUGUAAGCAAUAUUUACUUAACAAUAUUAAGACUUAAAGAUAGAGGGAACUUAAAGCCGAUCGAUGCUACAGCAACUUUGAACAAAACUGAUGAUGACCAGAGGGAUUUUAACUAUUACUGCCAUCAUAUACAUCUGAUAGUUGUUACAUCUGAUGGUUGUUACAUCUGAUGGUUGUUACAUCUGAUGGAGGUUACAUCUGAUGGUUGUUACAUCUGAUGGAGGUUACAUCUGAUGGUUGUUACAUCUGAUGGAGGUUACAUCUGAUGGUUGUUACAUCUGAUGGUUGUUACAUCUGAUGGAGGUUACAUCUGAUGGUUGUUACAUCUGAUGGUUGUUACAUCUGAUGGUGGAAUUUUAAGAUUAUUUUACUUACUUUACUUAUUUAACAAAUUUGACUAUCAUUGAAUGUGCCAUUGACCAUCUUUCAACCUUUAUUUUGUUAAUUUUACAGAAUAAAAAAACAGGUCAGAAAUAUAAUAAUAUAGUGGGAUGAUUGUGAAACGUGCUGUCCUCCAGAGGAUAAACCCCAUGAAGGGUCAGUCAUCAUUUAUCAGUUUAUUCAUGCCUCUGAAUCCAUCUCCUCUCCCUGCCGCUCUCACCUCCUGCUUCUUCUCCCGCUAAUGGAGGUUAAUGGUUCAGUAAUCUGUGUUGAGGGACUUUAAGGUCACAGAUUCACAUACAAAUGACAUUUAGAAACAAUUACAUCCAAUUGAGUCAAUAAUGAGCUAUUAAUCGACACAGAAAGAAUAUGUAUUGAAGAAAUCAUGAUUAUAAUUUCAUAAUUCCCUUUCACAUAUCAGUCAUUAAAUAUUAGAGACAUUUUUACUGUAUGUAUAUAUAUCAUAUAUAUUUAU